CCAUCGUGAGUAUAUGUGGUACUGCCAGCUUAGCUUCACUACUUCCUUUGAAAGCUGUCUCUCUCUCCUCCCACCAUCUCAUCCUUGGGGAGUUAUGCAGCCCCACCCCGGUGGUCAUAACUGAUGGCAUCAUGACAAGGACUGAGUGGAGGCCAAUUCCAAGAGGUUUAGGAACACGUUUUCCUUGAAACAGCAGGCAUCGGCCAGCGCCUGAUUUUACUGCUCUGCACCCUGCGGAUCAGGCAGUUAAACAUCUGCAAAGAACAAGAGAUAACAUCCUGUGUGGGGUCAUCACUUUCCAGGAAAUGGUUGCAGGACUAGAGAGAAAUGGAAAUUCACCAUCUGGCUGGCUGUCCAGCAAAGCUGCUGACGAGACAGCACUCAUGUGCUAAGGCCGCAUUGGGUCCAGGGCCCAGUGGAGUUUUCCAGAGGCUACAUGAUAUAUAAUAUCAUCAUUCUCACAACUAAUGAAAGUUAUAGAAUCACAGUAUCCUCUGUCAUCUACCAGAGUUAACCGACAGAGAUAAGGACAGAAGGGCGACCUCCAUUUAUCUCCUUUUUUCUUCAUGGGCUGAAUCCUGAGGGACUUCCAGGAGCCAUCUCCAGCCCCCCUGGCCUGAAAGAAGAGCUGAAAUAAUUUCCACAGAAAACUCAUGUCUUAGAAACAAGGAAAUGAUGCCUAUUAGAACACAAUUAAGAAUCUUUACCAAAAUAAAAUUGAUGACACUCAAA